AGAUCUAGGGUUUCCGAUCUCUGCGUUGGGUCGAUUAUUCCUUGUAGAUCUUAGCUUUAGUCCUCUUCGAUUUGGCGAUCAGUGAUUAGGUUUUCGUAAAAAAAUUACCAAUGAUUUUAGAUUUUCUAUGAAUUACGCAAUGUUCAUGCGUCGAGUUCGCAUUCUCCACUCCUUUUCGGUUGUGUUUCUCUACUGGUUUUACGUGUUUUCAGAAUUAAUUUCUUUGUGUUAAACCUGUUGUAAAUUUUGAUCCCUAUUUCCCCUUUUAACUAACUAUCAAAAAGCCCUAAUUCUAACUCAAUUUGAUAGAUAAUAUCCAACAUCUAGUAGAUUAAUUUUUCUGUUUGAAAUUUCGGGAGACAAAAAAAGUUCUGCAAUGCAAAGGCAGGCAGCGAACUCUGGAUCUGAUUCUGAUCCACGUUAUGCCAGUAUCGAUGAAAGGAAAAGAAAGAGGAUGAUAUCAAACAGGGAAUCAGCCAGACGUUCCAGGAUGAGGAAGCAGAAACAGAUGGGGGAUCUGGUUAAUGAAGCGAGUCUUUUGCAAAAUGAGAAUGAUCGAUUGAGGCAGAACAUCAACGACAACACUCAACGGUAUGUGGAAAUAGAAUCCGCCAACAGCGUUUUGAGGGCUCAGGCUAUGGAACUGACCGAGAGGCUUCUGUCCUGGAACUCGGUGCUCCAGAUCGCGGAGGAGGUUAGCGGCCUCGCAGUGGAGAUCCCAGAGAUACCUGACCCCCUGCUGAAACCAUGGCAACUCCCUUUCCCCGUACAGCCGAUCAUGGCAUCUGCAGAUAUGUUUCAGUAUUGAUAUUGCAUCUGUUUAGUGAGUUACUGGUAGCUGAGACUUAUUACCUAUCUGGGUGUUCCUUUUUUGUUAUGGGUUGGUUUGGUGUGCUGUGGUUUGGUGUGUGAGGCGAAUGUUAGUCUUUUGUGUCUUUGGGAAUGCAGUUGUAAUGUGAUUUGCUUGCUUGUUAACUUCUAUUUCUAUCAAUGUUUGUAGUGGUUUAUGAUGCACUGGUUGUUGCCAAUAGCUUAGAUUUCCGUAACGAGUUUCUUUUUGAAAAAAAAAACUCGUUACGGAAAUCUAAG
rnacentral:misc_RNA from 1 species